GCUGGGUGUGGUGGCUCAUGCCUGUAAUCCCAGCACUUUGGGAGGCCGAGGCAGGUGGAUCACCUGAGGUCAGGAGUUCAAGACCAGCCUGGCCAACAUGGUGAAACCCUGUCUCUA
rnacentral:SRP_RNA from 1 species